GACAGAGGGUGCAAACGUUGUUCGGAAUUACUGGGCGUAAAGCGCGUGUAGGCGGCUCGGAAAGUCGGAUGUGAAAGCCCAGGGCUCAACCCUGGAAGUGCACUCGAAACUCCCGAGCUGGAGUCCCGGAGAGGAAGGCGGAAUUCUCGGUGUAGAGGUGAAAUUCGUAGAUAUCGAGAGGAACACCUGUGGCGAAGGCGGCCUUCUGGACGGUGACUGACGCUGAGGAGCGAAAGCGUGGGGAGCGAACAGG
rnacentral:rRNA from 1 species